rnacentral:rRNA from 1 species
UGGGGAAUUUUGGACAAUGGGCGAAAGCCUGAUCCAGCCAUGCCGCGUGAGUGAAGAAGGCCUUCGGGUUGUAAAGCUCUUUUAGUCGGAAAGAAAGAGUUGCAAUGAAUAAUUGUGAUUUAUGACGGUACCGACAGAAAAAGCACCGGCUAACUACGUGCCAGCAGCCGCGGUAAUACGUAGGGUGCGAGCGUUAAUCGGAAUUACUGGGCGUAAAGGGCGCGCAGGCGGUCUUGCAAGUCAGAUGUGAAAGCCCCGGGCUUAACCUGGGAAUUGCGUUUGAAACUACAAGACUAGAGUGCAGCAGAGGGGAGUGGAAUUCCAUGUGUAGCAGUGAAAUGCGUAGAGAUGUGGAAGAACACCGAUGGCGAAGGCAGCUCCCUGGGUUGACACUGACGCUCAUGCACGAAAGCGUGGGGAGCAAACA